rnacentral:tRNA from 1 species
GAACGGCUGCGGAUUGUGAAUUUUGCCUUCACACGGCAAGGGUCGCAGGUUCGAUCCCUGCACCGCCCACCA